AUUGAACGCUGGCGGCAGGCUUAACACAUGCAAGUCGAACGAGUGGCGGACGGGUGAGUAAUGCUUGGGAAUAUAGCGUAUGGAGGGGGAUAACUACGGGAAACUGUAGCUAAUACCGCGUACCAGAGGAAGAGCCCAAGUGGGAUUAGGUAGUUGGUGGGGUAAAGGCUCACCAAGCCGACGAUCGCUAGCUGGUCUGUGAGGAUGACCAGCCACACUGGAACUGAGCCACGGCCCAGACCACUACGGUAGGCAGCGGUGGAGAAUAUUGCACAAUGGAAGCGACCUGACGCAGCCCUGCCGCGUGAAUUCAAAAUUCCUUCGUGUUUUAAAGUUCUUUCGGUAGCGAGUCGUUAUCUACAGAAGAAGCACCGGCUAACUCCGUGCCAGCCGCCGCGGUAAUAC
rnacentral:rRNA from 1 species